UACGUAGGUGGCAAGCGUUAUCCGGAAUUAUUGGGCGUAAAGAGCGCGCAGGUGGUUGAUUAAGUCUGAUGUGAAAGCCCACGGCUUAACCGUGGAGGGUCAUUGGAAACUGGUCGACUUGAGUGCAGGAGAGGGAAGUGGAAUUCCAUGUGUAGCGGUGAAAUGCGUAGAGAUAUGGAGGAACACCAGUGGCGAAGGCGGCUUCCUGGUCUGUAACUGACACUGAGGCGCGAAAGCGUGGGGAGCAAACAGGAUUAGAUACCCG
rnacentral:rRNA from 1 species